rnacentral:rRNA from 1 species
AUUGAACACUGGCGGCAUGCCUUACAUAUGCAAGUCGAACGGUAACAGGUUAAGCUGACGAGUGGCGAACGGGUGAGUAAUAUAUCGGAACGUGCCCAAUCGUGGGGGAUAACGCAGCGAAAGUUGUGCUAAUGCCGCAUAAGAUCUACGGAUGAAAGCGGGGGAUCGCAAGACCUCGCGCGAGUGGAGCGGCCGAUAUCAGAUUAGCUAGUUGGUGGGGUAAAGGCCCACCAAGGCGACGAUCUGUAGCUGGUCUGAGAGGACGACCAGCCACACUGGGACUGAGACACGGCCCAGACUCCUACGGGAGGCAGCAGUGGGGAAUUUUGGACAAUGGGCGCAAGCCUGAUCCAGCAAUGCCGCGUGCAGGAUGAAGGCCUUCGGGUUGUAAACUGCUUUUGUACGGAGCGAAAAAGCUCUCUCUAAUACAGAGGGCUCAUGACGGUACCGUAAGAGUAAGCACCGGCUAACUACGUGCCAGCAGCCGCAGUAA